CCCUUAGAUGUUCUGGGCCGCACGCGCGCUACACUGAUGCAUUCAACGAGCCUAUCCUUGACCGACAGGUCCGGGUAAUCUUUGAAUCUGCAUCGUGACGGGGAUAGAUUAUUGCAAUUAUUAAUCUUCAACGAGGAAUGCCUAGUAGGCGCAAGUCAUCAGCUUGCGUCGAUUACGUCCCUGCCCUUUGUACACACCGCCCGUCGCUCCUACCGAUUGGGUGUGCUGGUGAAAUCUCCGGACUGGCGUGAGUCGGAGCAAUCUGACAAACACCGGAAAGUUGAUUAAACCUUACCAUUUAGAGGAAGGUGAAGUCGUAACA
rnacentral:rRNA from 1 species